rnacentral:sRNA from 1 species
AAAAAGAAAUAAAAAAACGAAACUGAAAUUUUUUGGGAAUAUUAAGAGGAGAAAGAAGCGAUGAAGAAAGAAAAAAGAAGGAAAGAAGAAUAAAAAAGAAGAAGAUGAAGAAGAAGAAGAAGAAUGAGGGCAAAAUCGUUAUUUCUUAUAGCAGAAUGUGUCCAUCUCCAUUAGCCCAACAAAAAGUACUCUUUUUAGAGUUUUUGGACUUAAAUGUACCCCAAAUACGUAAAAGCCCCAACUUAUUAGAGCCAAAACUCUGUUUGAAAGUUAAGAGUUGGUGAGAGAGAAGAAUUUGUUUCAUGCGAAAAGGAGAAGACAAAGAGCGUGUGUCUCAAACAGGAAUAACGUUGUCAUUAUUACAGAAAAUACAAACAAUAUCAAGUUACUUUUUUUGGAAUGUUAGUUUUUUAAAUAUAUAAUAUUUUUGUAGGUUAUAAGCCCAAAUUUCUCUUUUUUAU